UACGGGGGGGGCAAGCGUUGUUCGGAAUUACUGGGCGUAAAGGGCUCGUAGGCGGCCAACUAAGUCGGACGUGAAAUCCCCAGGCUCAACUUGGGAACUGCGUCUGAUACUGGUUGGCUUGAAUUCGGGAGAGGGAUGCAGAAUUCCAGGUGUAGCGGUGAAAUGCGUAGAUAUCUGGAGGAAUACCGGUGGCGAAGGCGGCAUCCUGGACCGAGAUUGACACUGAUGAGCGAAAGCCAGGGGAGCAAACGGG
rnacentral:rRNA from 1 species